rnacentral:rRNA from 1 species
AGAGUUUGAUCAUGGCUCAGAUUGAACGCUGGCGGAAUGCUUUACACAUGCAAGUCGAACGGCAGCACGGGGCAACCUGGUGGCGAGUGGCGAACGGGUGAGUAAUACAUCGGAACGUGCCCAAUCGUGGGGGAUAACGUAGCGAAAGUUACGCUAAUACCGCACACGAUCUACGGAUGAAAGCGGGGGAUCGCAAGACCUCGCGCGAAUGGAGCGGCCGAUGUCAGAUUAGGUAGUUGGUGGGGUAAAGGCUCACCAAGCCAACGAUCUGUAGCUGGUCUGAGAGGACGACCAGCCACACUGGAACUGAGACACGGUCCAGACUCCUACGGGAGGCAGCAGUGGGGAAUUUUGGACAAUGGGCGCAAGCCUGAUCCAGCCAUUCCGCGUGCAGGAUGAAGGCCUUCGGGUUGUAAACUGCUUUUGUACGGAACGAAAAGGUCCUGGUUAAUACCUGGGGCUCAUGACGGUACCGUAAGAAUAAGCACCGGCUAACUACGUG